GAUGAACGCUGGCGGCGUGCUUAACACAUGCAAGUCGAACGAUGAACCAGGUGUUUGCACUCGGGGAUUAGUGGCGAACGGGUGAGUAACACGUGAGCAACCUGCCCCUGACUCUGGGAUAAGCGCUGGAAACGGCGUCUAAUACUGGAUAUGUCCCGUCACCGCAUGGUGUGCGGGUGGAAAGAUUUUUCGGUUGGGGAUGGGCUCGCGGCCUAUCAGCUUGUUGGUGAGGUAAUGGCUCACCAAGGCGUCGACGGGUAGCCGGCCUGAGAGGGUGACCGGCCAAACUGGGACUGAGACACGGCCCAGACUCCUACGGGGGGCAGCAGUGGGGAAUAUUGCACAAUGGGCGCAAGCCUGAUGCAGCAACGCCGCGUGAGGGAUGACGGCCUUCGGGUUGUAAACCUCUUUUAGUAGGGAAGAAGCGAAAGUGACGGUACCUGCAGAAAAAGCACCGGCUAACUACGUGCCAGCCGCCGCAGUAA
rnacentral:rRNA from 1 species